UCUUUAUAGCUUGCUAUGAUAAAAAUUAGUGGCAGACGGGUGAGUAAUGCAUAGGAAUCUACCUAGUAGUAUGGGAUAGCCACUAGAAAUGGUGGGUAAUACUGUAUAAUCCCUGCGGGGGAAAGAUUUAUCGCUAUUAGAUGAGCCUAUGUUAGAUUAGCUAGUUGGUAGGGUAAAGGCCUACCAAGGCAGUGAUCUAUAGCUGGUCUGAGAGGAUGAUCAGCCACACUGGAACUGAGAUACGGUCCAGACUCCUACGGGAGGCAGCAGUGGGGAAUAUUGGACAAUGGGCGCAAGCCUGAUCCAGCUAUGCCGCGUGAGUGAGGAAGGCCU
rnacentral:rRNA from 1 species